ACUGUAAAUGGACAAAUUGAAAGUGAUGCAUCAAUAACUUGUGUAAUUCAAUCUACCAAAUGAUUUAACUUAUUCUUCCCUGCAUCAUUGAAUCUAACACUGUUUUUUUCCCUAGCCUUAAUGCAGUUGUGUAUGGGAGUAACUGUUGGAUCAGGGCAUAAAUUCUUACCUUAUAAUUAUUUGCUCUAAGUUUUCAUGCUUUUCCAUGCCUUGGGCUUUCAUUGUCAGCUUCUUGAUGCCACAAAAAGCUAAAAUAAUCUAACAUUGUGGACAGUUGCAAAAAGCUUUUAUAACAGUGCCUCACCAACUAGUACCUUUGAAUUUUAUUUUUGGUGUUGUGCCUCUCAAUGCUUCGCUCCAAAUGGAUCUUGGGUUAGUCUCGUGGAGGAUUGUAUCUGACAUUACUAAGGAUAGGAAGGUCCUUAAGAAGAUCU